UUUCCGUAGGUGAACCUGCGGAAGGAUCAUUAUUGUAUAACCGAGGUGCGAGGGCUGUCGCUGACCCGAAAGGUCGUGCACGCCCGAGUGCCCUCACACACAUCCAUCUCACCCCUAUGUGCACCACCGCGUGGGUCCCCCUUUGGCUUGUUCGGAGGGGGGCUUACGUUUUCACACAAACUUUGUAUGCAGUGUAGAAUGUAUUUUUUGUUUUUGCGAUCACGCAAUCAAUUCGACUUUCAACAACGGAUCUCUUGGUUCUC
rnacentral:misc_RNA from 1 species